UGAGGGAAUAUUGGACAAUGGGAGGCAACUCUGAUCCAGCCAUGCCGCGUGAAGGACUAAGGCCCUAUGGGUCGUAAACUUCUUUUGACGCAGAGCAAUAAGGAUUACGUGUAGUCUGAUGAGAGUAUGCGUCGAAUAAGCAUCGGCUAACUCCGUGCCAGCAGCCGCGGUAAUACGGAGGAUGCAAGCGUUAUCCGGAUUUAUUGGGUUUAAAGGGUGCGUAGGCGGAUGGGUAAGUCAGCGGUGAAAUGUCCCGGCUCAACCGGGGAACUGCCAUUGAUACUGCUUGUCUUGAAUGCGGAUGCCGUGGGAGGAAUGUGUAGUGUAGCGG
rnacentral:rRNA from 1 species